GGUGGAGCGUUGUAUGGCCGCAGAGAGCAGGGGGAAGCGACUGUUUACUAAAAACACAGGUCCAUGCGAAGAAGUAAUUCGAUGUAUAUGGACUGACGCCUGCCCGGUGCUGGAACGUUAAGGGGACCUGUUAGCUCUUCGGGGCGAAGCGGAGAACUUAAGCGCCAGUAAACGGCGGUGGUAACUAUAACCAUCCUAAGGUAGCGAAAUUCCUUGUCGGGUAAGUUCCGACCUGCACGAAUGGCGUAACGACUUCCCCACUGUCUCAACCACAGGCCCGGCGAAAUUGCAGUACGAGUAAAGAUGCUCGUUACGCGCGGCAGGACGGAAAGACCCCGGGACCUUUACUAUAGCUUGACAUUGGUACUCGAAUUAGCUUGUGUAGGAUAGGUGGGAGCCGGUGAAGUCCAUACGCCAGUAUGGGUGGAGGCAAUCUUGAAAUACCACUCUGGUUGAUUUGGGUAUCUAACUUCGGACCGUUAUCCGGUUCAGGGACAGUGUCUGGUGGGUAGUUUAACUGGGGCGGUUGCCUCCUAAAAGGUAACGGAGGCGCCCAAAGGUUCCCUCAGCCUGGUUGGCAAUCAGGUGUUGAGUGCAAGUACACAAGGGAGCUUGACUGUGAGACUGACAGGUCGAGCAGGGACGAAAGUCGGGACUAGUGAUCCGGCACUUGCGAGUGGAAGCGGUGUCGCUCAACGGAUAAAAGGUACCCCGGGGAUAACAGGCUGAUCUUCCCCAAGAGUCCAUAUCGACGGGAUGGUUUGGCACCUCGAUGUCGGCUCGUCGCAUCCUGGGGCUGUAGCAGGUCCCAAGGGUUGGGCUGUUCGCCCAUUAAAGCGGUACGCGAGCUGGGUUUAGAACGUCGUGAGACAGUUCGGUCCCUAUCCGCCGUGCGCGUAGGAUACUUGAGAAGGGCUGUCCCUAGUACGAGAGGACCGGGACGGACGAACCUCUGGUGUGCCAGUUGUCCCGCCAGGGGCACGGCUGGUUAGCUACGUUCGGAAGGGAUAACCGCUGAAAGCAUCUAAGCGGGAAGCCUGCUUCAAGAUGAGGUAUCCCACCCACCUUUGGUGGGGUAAGGCCCCCAGCUAGACGACUGGGUUGAUAGGCCGGAAAUGUAAGCCCGGUAACGGGUUCAGUUGACCGGUACUAAUAGGCCGAGGACUUGACUAC
rnacentral:rRNA from 1 species